rnacentral:misc_RNA from 1 species
GAUGAAGAACGUAGCGAAAUGCGAUACGUAAUGUGAAUUGCAGAAUUCAGUGAAUCAUCGAGUCUUUGAACGCACAUUGCGCCCCCUGGUAUUCCGGGGGGCAUGCCUGUCCGAGCGUCAUUGCUGCCCUCAAGCACGGCUUGUGUGUUGGGCCUCCGUCCUCCUCCCGGGGGACGGGCCCGAAAGGCAGCGGCGGCACCGCGUCCGGUCCUCGAGCGUAUGGGGCUUCGUCACCCGCUCUUGUAGGCCCGGCCGGCGCUUGCCGACACAUCAAUCUUUUUUCCAGGUUGACCUCGGAUCAGGUAGGGAUACCCGCUGAACUUAGGCAUAUCAAUAAGCGGAGGA